AUACGUAGGGUGCGGGCGUUAAUCGGAAUUACUGGGCGUAAAGCGUGCGCAGGCGGUUAUGUAAGACAGAUGUGAAAUCCCCGGGCUCAACCUGGGAACUGCAUUUGUGACUGCAUAGCUAGAGUACGGCAGAGGGGGAUGGAAUUCCGCGUGUAGCAGUGAAAUGCGUAGAUAUGCGGAGGAACACCGAUGGCGAAGGCAAUCCCCUGGGCCUGUACUGACGCUCAUGCACGAAAGCGUGGGGAGCAAACAGGAUUAGAAACCCUAGUAGUCC
rnacentral:rRNA from 1 species